GAAGCAGUAGGGACCUGCGAUGGAGGCCGAUGUUUCGAAAGAGCUUGCAUGCCAAUCGAACGACACAUGAGGGCAGCAUUCAACAACAUAAACACGCGACUGUAAAUCUGGCGCUAUCUUCCGAGUGGCCGAAACCUGUUGCCUGUGUCACUUUCUUGUGUGUUUUUGGUCCAACGUAAUAACACCAAAAUGGAUGAGAAGCAGGGACCAACUUCUGAUGAUGUCCCAACUGGGGAGGUAACGUCAACCACAGUUACAGAGGGUGAUGUUGUCAAGAUGCCAACAGAUGCGGCCAUCACUAUGGAUGCCAUUCCCAAUGAAGAUGAGGAGGACAAAUCCAAAGGUCUUGACCCACAAGAUAACCAUUCCACCAGCACCUCUGACGUACC